rnacentral:rRNA from 1 species
GAUGAACGCUGGCGGCGUGCUUAACACAUGCAAGUCGAACGAAGCACUUUAUUUGAUUUCCUUCGGGACUGAUUAUUUUGUGACUGAGUGGCGGACGGGUGAGUAACGCGUGGGUAACCUGCCUUGUACAGGGGGAUAACAGUUGGAAACGGCUGCUAAUACCGCAUAAGCGCACGGCAUCGCAUGAUGCAGUGUGAAAAACUCCGGUGGUAUAAGAUGGACCCGCGUUGGAUUAGCUAGUUGGUGAGGUAACGGCCCACCAAGGCGACGAUCCAUAGCCGACCUGAGAGGGUGACCGGCCACAUUGGGACUGAGACACGGCCCAAACUCCUACGGGAGGCAGCAGUGGGGAAUAUUGCACAAUGGGCGAAAGCCUGAUGCAGCGACGCCGCGUGAGCGAAGAAGUAUUUCGGUAUGUAAAGCUCUAUCAGCAGGGAAGAUAAUGACGGUACCUGACUAAGAAGCACCGGCUAAAUACGUGCCAGCAGCCGCGGUAAUACGUAUGGUGCAAGCGUUAUCCGGAUUUACUGGGUGUAAAGGGAGCGCAGGCGGUGCGGCAAGUCUGAUGUGAAAGCCCGGGGCUCAACCCCGGUACUGCAUUGGAAACUGUCGU